rnacentral:rRNA from 1 species
UACAGAGGGGGCAAGCGUUGUUCGGAAUUACUGGGCGUAAAGGGCGCGUAGGCGGCCCGCUAAGUCGAACGUGAAAUCCCCGAGCUCAACUCGGGAACUGCGUCCGAUACUGGCGGGCUUGAAUCCGGGAGAGGGAUGCGGAAUUCCAGGUGUAGCGGUGAAAUGCGCAGAUAUCAGGAGGAACACCGAUGGCGAAGGCAGGUCACUGGGCCGCAACUGACGCUGAGGAGCGAAAGCAUGGGGAGCGAACAGG